CUGAAAUAGGAGGACUAGGAUAAACUAAGUAGCUUCACGUGGAGAUGUAUUUGAAAUGCAAAAGAAGGAAGAAAAUAGACAUGUCUACAUUAUAAGUGAGAUUUAACUAACAUUUCUGUUUCAGAAUGGCCUGCACUCCAGAGCUGGGGAAGGGAAAAUGAUGAAUCCAUCCCCAUUUCAUUGGCUUAACUUCCCGUCUGCUUUUCUGAUUUUCUAGAUUGACAUUAGAGGUGCAUACGUCCUGGGUAUCUAUCUACAUUUGACGUCAUUUGAUCCCUGGAAGGACAGCGCACCUCAGAAGCACAGAGCAGAAUAAAGGGUCUGCUGGACACGCAGUUGGAGCGUAUGAAUCAACAGAUGUAGCUCACAGAACCACACCUCCCAGGAUUUACGUGGCAUUCAGCUCGUGCUCUUGAACACAACAUUAUGCUGACAUUCAGUGUCUGUAGGCUGGAGAUCACCCCUGGCUUCCCUGGGUACACAGGGUGGCACCAGCACCCCGGGAAAUAAAAACUGAAACAUUCCCCCAGAAUGAACCCGGGGGAGCACAAAAGGCACAGGAUGUCCAAUACCACAGUACUCUCCAAUAUAGUCCAUUCAAAACACAGGCUCCAGCGACCCUGGGAGAUUCAGGUGAAGAAAGACAGGCCACAUAAGGUGUAAACCCUUUGUGGUCCUAGGCCAAAAGGUGUGGUGAAGAACAUUGCUUUAGGGAACACCUACCAUGGCUGUGGGUAUGACGGCCAGACCCUUCAACCUCUAUUAAUUCCGUCUUGAGAGGAAACUCAAAUCAUAAUGGCUGCUGAGUAUAUCCUAUGCAAUUGGAAAGGCCACAUUUGGCCAGCAAAGGUUUUUGUCCAGAU
rnacentral:lncRNA from 1 species